rnacentral:rRNA from 1 species
UACGGAAGGCAGCAGUGGGGAAUAUUGCACAAUGGGCGAAAGCCUGAUGCAGCUAUGCCGCGUGUAUGAAGAAGGCCUUAGGGUUGUAAAGUACUUUCAUCGGGGAGGAAAAAACAAAACUAAUAAUUUUAUUUCUUGACGUUACCCGAAAAAGAAGCACCGGCUAACUCCGUGCCAGCAGCCGCGGUAAUACGGAGGGUGCUAGCGUUAAUCAGAAUUACUGGGCGUAAAGAGCACGUAGGUGGUUUUUUUAAGUCAGAUGUGAAAUCCCUGGGCUUAACCUGGAACUGCAUUUGUAAACUGAAAUACUAGAGUAUCGUAGAGGGAGGUAGAAUUCUAGGUGUAGCGGUGAAAUGCGUAGAUAUCUGGAGGAAUACCUGUGGCGAAAGCGGCCUCCUAAACGAAUACUGACACUGAGGUGCGAAAGCGUGGGGAGGCAAACAGGGAUUAGAUACC